rnacentral:rRNA from 1 species
GACGUCCCUAGUUCGGAUUGUAGGCUGAAACUCGCCCUACAUGAAGCUGGAAUUGCUAGUAAUCACAGGUCAGCAUACUGUGGUGAAUACGUUCCCGGGCCUUGUACACACCGCCCGUCACACCAUGAGAGUUGAGAAUACCCGAAGCCCAUGUCAAAGUGGUCGAAGGUAGGCUUGAUGAUUGGGGUGAAGUCGUAACAAGGUAAC